CCUACGGGCGGCAGCAGUGGGGAAUAUUGCGCAAUGGGGGCAACCCUGACGCAGCAACGCCGCGUGAUUGAAGAAGGCCUUCGGGUUGUAAAGAUCUUUAUUUGGGGACGAAAACAAUGACGGUACCCAAAUAAUAAGCUUCGGCUAACUACGCGCCAGCAGCCGCGGGAAGACGUAGGGAGCAAGCGGUAUCCGGAUUUACUGGGUGUAAGGGGCGAGUAGGCGGGCUGGCAAGUUAGGAGUGAAAUCCCGGGGCUUAACCCCGGAACUGCUUUUAAAACUGUUGGUCUUGAGUGAUGGAGAGGCAGGCGGAAUUCGGGGUGUAGCGGUGAAAUGCGUAGAUAUACGGAGGAACACCGAUGGCGAAGGCGGCCUGCUGGACAUUAACUGACGCUGAGGCGCGAAAGCGUGGGGAGCAAACAGGAUUAGAUACCCGAGUAGUC
rnacentral:rRNA from 1 species